GUGUUUGGUUCAGCAGCACAGAUAGUAAAAUUUGAAUGAUAUAGAGAUUAGUAUGGGCCCUGCACAAGGAUGAUGUGCAAAUUAUUGAAAUGUUGCAUUCCUUU
ensembl:snRNA U6 U6 spliceosomal RNA